rnacentral:pre_miRNA from 1 species
AUCCUAAUGCAGAGCACUUAUUGGAUGUCUUAAGUGCUUUCUGUUAGGAUAA